rnacentral:tRNA from 1 species
GGAGGUAUAGCUCAGUGACAGAGUGCAUGCCCAGCAUGCACAAGGUCCUGAGUUCAAUCCCCAGUACCUCUG